rnacentral:rRNA from 1 species
UUAAGCGACUAAGCGUACACGGUGGAUGCCCUGGCAGUCAGAGGCGAUGAAGGACGUGCUAAUCUGCGAUAAGCGUCGGUAAGGUGAUAUGAACCGUUAUAACCGGCGAUUUCCGAAUGGGGAAACCCAGUGUGUUUCGACACACUAUCAUUAACUGAAUCCAUAGGUUAAUGAGGCGAACCGGGGGAACUGAAACAUCUAAGUACCCCGAGGAAAAGAAAUCAACCGAGAUUCCCCCAGUAGCGGCGAGCGAACGGGGAGCAGCCCAGAGCCUGAAUCAGUGUGUGUGUUAGUGGAAGCGUCUGGAAAGGCGCGCGAUACAGGGUGACAGCCCCGUACACAAAAAUGCACAUACUGUGAGCUCGAUGAGUAGGGCGGGACACGUGGUAUCCUGUCUGAAUAUGGGGGGACCAUCCUCCAAGGCUAAAUACUCCUGACUGACCGAUAGUGAACCAGUACCGUGAGGGAAAGGCGAAAAGAACCCCGGCGAGGGGAGUGAAAAAGAACCUGAAACCGUGUACGUACAAGCAGUGGGAGCACAGAGCAAUCUGUGUGACUGCGUACCUUUUGUAUAAUGGGUCAGCGACUUAUAUUCUGUAGCAAGGUUAACCGAAUAGGGGAGCCGAAGGGAAACCGAGUCUUAACUGGGCGUUAAGUUGCAGGGUAUAGACCCGAAACCCGGUGAUCUAGCCAUGGGCAGGUUGAAGGUUGGGUAACACUAACUGGAGGACCGAACCGACUAAUGUUGAAAAAUUAGCGGAUGACUUGUGGCUGGGGGUGAAAGGCCAAUCAAACCGGGAGAUAGCUGGUUCUCCCCGAAAGCUAUUUAGGUAGCGCCUCGUGAAUUCAUCUCCGGGGGUAGAGCACUGUUUCGGCAAGGGGGUCAUCCCGACUUACCAACCCGAUGCAAACUGCGAAUACCGGAGAAUGUUAUCACGGGAGACACACGGCGGGUGCUAACGUCCGUCGUGAAGAGGGAAACAACCCAGACCGCCAGCUAAGGUCCCAAAGUCAUGGUUAAGUGGGAAACGAUGUGGGAAGGCCCAGACAGCCAGGAUGUUGGCUUAGAAGCAGCCAUCAUUUAAAGAAAGCGUAAUAGCUCACUGGUCGAGUCGGCCUGCGCGGAAGAUGUAACGGGGCUAAACCAUGCACCGAAGCUGCGGCAGCGACACUAUGUGUUGUUGGGUAGGGGAGCGUUCUGUAAGCCUGUGAAGGUGUACUGUGAGGUAUGCUGGAGGUAUCAGAAGUGCGAAUGCUGACAUAAGUAACGAUAAAGCGGGUGAAAAGCCCGCUCGCCGGAAGACCAAGGGUUCCUGUCCAACGUUAAUCGGGGCAGGGUGAGUCGACCCCUAAGGCGAGGCCGAAAGGCGUAGUCGAUGGGAAACAGGUUAAUAUUCCUGUACUUGGUGUUACUGCGAAGGGGGGACGGAGAAGGCUAUGUUGGCCGGGCGACGGUUGUCCCGGUUUAAGCGUGUAGGCUGGUUUUCCAGGCAAAUCCGGAAAAUCAAGGCUGAGGCGUGAUGACGAGGCACUACGGUGCUGAAGCAACAAAUGCCCUGCUUCCAGGAAAAGCCUCUAAGCAUCAGGUAACAUCAAAUCGUACCCCAAACCGACACAGGUGGUCAGGUAGAGAAUACCAAGGCGCUUGAGAGAACUCGGGUGAAGGAACUAGGCAAAAUGGUGCCGUAACUUCGGGAGAAGGCACGCUGAUAUGUAGGUGAAGCGACUUGCUCGUGGAGCUGAAAUCAGUCGAAGAUACCAGCUGGCUGCAACUGUUUAUUAAAAACACAGCACUGUGCAAACACGAAAGUGGACGUAUACGGUGUGACGCCUGCCCGGUGCCGGAAGGUUAAUUGAUGGGGUUAGCGGUAACGCGAAGCUCUUGAUCGAAGCCCCGGUAAACGGCGGCCGUAACUAUAACGGUCCUAAGGUAGCGAAAUUCCUUGUCGGGUAAGUUCCGACCUG